GGGGACGUAGCUCAGCUGGGAGAGCGCCUGCUUUGCAAGCAGGAAGUCAGGGGUUCGAGUCCCCUCGUCUCCACCA
rnacentral:tRNA from 1 species